rnacentral:rRNA from 1 species
CAGCAGCCGCGGGAAUACGUAGGGUGCGAGCGUUAAUCGGAAUUACUGGGCGUAAAGCGUGCGCAGGCGGUUUUGUAAGACAGGCGUGAAAUCCCCGGGCUCAACCUGGGAAUGGCGCUUGUGACUGCAAAGCUAGAGUGCGGCAGAGGGGGAUGGAAUUCCGCGUGUAGCAGUGAAAUGCGUAGAUAUGCGGAGGAACACCGAUGGCGAAGGCAAUCCCCUGGGCCUGCACUGACGCUCAUGCACGAAAGCGUGGGGAGCAAACAGGAUUAGAGACCCCGGUUAGUCCCUGUCUCUUAUU